UGGGAGUGGAGUGCGCUUGGUCUGUUUGUUGCCGAUUUCUGUCCUGUCCAAGGUCGCAGCUACCUCCGCUCGCUGUUUUUGUAGCUGACUUUCAGCGGGACAGAGGAGUACGGAGCAGAGUCUAAAGGAGCGAGAGAAAAACGUCAGCUGAGGCCAGGCGGCCCCACUUCUGGCCCGUCCGCCCCGUCCGGGCCCGGCCCCGGCCCGAACCCCCUGGGGAUGCCCCCCACAGGACCUGCGCUCACCCGCGGAGUCCCGGCUCCUCACACAGAGAGGCGGUGGUCGUCUCAGGGCUCCUGCGUGCGGGGGCGUCCACUGCGACCGCCAAGAGUUUGGCUCUGUCAGCCUCGGGGUACGCGGGGGUCUUCAGGGUAAGCUCCUAGGCCUGGCGGGGGGCCGGGGCCACAGGGAGAGUAAACGUGAGCAGAGUCCAGGCAGCUGGGUGCUCCCUUGAGCCGUGGGAGCUACCCCUGGGCGCAGCCCCGACAGAC
rnacentral:telomerase_RNA from 1 species